AUCGAUUUUAAAUUAAGAAUUCUGACUGCCCAUUUCUAUGGCAGAUGUCCGAAGUAUUAGUCAGAUUUUAACCAAACUUAGUCCGAAUAUCUAAAAUCAUGGCAAUUAUAUAAUCGGUGAGUCUCGUCAAGAUACCUCCAGAAACAAUUGAAAGGAAGUUUAAAAUAAGAACGUUUCGUACUAAAAACAAGUAAAUUUUGGGAUAUUUCUAUUCCAUUGUCGCACCUUAUAAUUCGCAACUGGUUCAAGAGAAGCAAAGAUGACGUUAAGCUGGAUUCCCUGCACUAUGGCGUAUUUCAGGAAAUUAGCUGGCAAAAAUCUGUAACUUAGCACUUCAAAGAAAAUUUGGACCAAAAAAAAGGGCGUGGCAUGGGAAAGGCGUAAAUUAACAUCCAAACGAAAAUUUCAUGUUUUUCAACAUUUAAAAUGCGAUAACGAAUUUUAAACAAAUUUAAAAAAUAAAACUUACUUUUA